AUUGCACGCUGGCGGCAGGCCUAACACAUGCAAGUCGAACGAGUGGCGGACGGGUGAGUAAUGUAUGGGAAACUGCCCGAUGGAUGGGGAUAACUACUGGAAACGGUAGCUAAUACCGCAUACAAUCGGAUGUGCCCAGAUGGGAUUAGCUAGUAGGUGGGGUAACGGCUCACCUAGGCGACGAUCUCUAGCUGGUCUGAGAGGAGGACAAGACACACUGGAACUGAGACACAGGCCAGAAUCCUACGGGAGGAAGAAGUAGGGAAGAUUGCACAAUGGGCGCAAGCCGGAGGGAGCCAUGCCGCGUGUAUGAAGAAGGCCUUCGGGUUGUAAAGUACUGUCAGCGAGGAGGCGUUACUCGCAGAAGAAGCACCGGCUAACUCCGUGCCAGCAGCCGCGGUAAUUC
rnacentral:rRNA from 1 species